ACUCUCAGCAACGGAUAUCUUGGCUCUUGCAACGAUGAAGAACGCAGCGAAAUGCGAUACGUAGUGUGAAUUGCAGAAUUCCGCGAAUCAUCGAGUCUUUGAACGCAAGUUGCGCCCGAGGCUUGACCAAGGGCAUCCCUGCCAGAGCGUCACCGCG
rnacentral:rRNA from 1 species